AACGAACGCUGGCGGCAUGCCUAACACAUGCAAGUCGAACGAGACCUUCGGGUCUAGUGGCGCACGGGUGCGUAACGCGUGGGAACCUGCCCUUAGGUUCGGAAUAACUCCCCGAAAGGGGUGCUAAUACCGGAUAAUGUCUUCGGACCAAAGAUUUAUCGCCUUUGGAUGGGCCCGCGUUGGAUUAGCUAGUUGGUAGGGUAAAAGCCUACCAAGGCGACGAUCCAUAGCCGGUCUGAGAGGAUGAUCAGCCACACUGGGACUGAGUCACGGCCCAGACUCCUACGGGAGGCAGCAGUGGGGAAUAUUGGACAAUGGGCGAAAGCCUGAUCCAGCAAUGCCGCGUGAGUGAUGAAGGCCUUAGGGUUGUAAAGCUCUUUUACCCGGGAUGAUAAUGACAGUACCGGGAGAAUAAGCUCCGGCUAACUCCGUG
rnacentral:rRNA from 1 species